rnacentral:rRNA from 1 species
CAAUAGCGUAUAUUAAAGUUGUUGCAGUUAAAAAGCUCGUAGUUGGAUUUGUGGCGUACGGUGUGUUCCGGGCACUUGUUGUCUGAGUAACCUGCUGUUGCCAUCCUUGGGUGGAACCUGUGUGGCAUUAGGUUGUCGUGCAGGGGAUGCCCAUCAUUUACUGUGAAAAAAUUAGAGUGUUCAAAGCAGGCUUAUGCCGUUGAAUAUAUUAGCAUGGAAUAAUGAGAUAGGACUUUUUUGCUAUUUUGUUGGUUUGCGCAAGAAGGUAAUGAUUAAUAGGGACAGUUGGGGGUAUUCGUAUUCCAUUGUCAGAGGUGAAAUUCUUGGAUUUUUGGAAGACGAACUACUGCGAAAGCAUUUACCAAGGAUGUUUUCGUUAA